rnacentral:lncRNA from 1 species
GGCAGAUGCACGUUCCUGACAUUCCUUCUCAUCCAGCUCUCAGUGGGCUGAGUGAAGGGUUCUCAGACAGCAAGGACAGGAGGUGCCUUUUAGGCCAGCAUGACCCAGACACCUUUCCAGGGAUUCAGACAUGACACUGGAUGUAAGAGGAGCCCCAUAUUUCUAUGAGAGAACUGCAAAGGCAGCUGAAUCUCAUUCCUGUCCCAUCAUUGGUUCUGGACAGCCCUUGAAUGUGCAUGGAGAGACUGCAAAGUCAGAACCCUUAUCAGUGACCUUUAUGCUCCAGGACCUCCAUCCUCCAUGGUUGAUGUUUCUGUACACAAGCAGUCUUUGCACCACACAAUGUUUUUUACUGAGAACUCAGCUCCCAUUUUCCUGGCAUCCAUCAGCCUCUGGGCAUAGAAAUCUCAUAUCUUGCUGGGAAUCAGAGGCAGAUUGGUCUUCCUUCAGCUGUCCCUGUAGUUUGCAGCUAAGUGUUACAAAUAUCAUCAAUUCAUCCACUGGUCCAUUUGCAUCCAGGGUGCUUGUCCAAGUCCCCCACUCUCCCUUUCAGUCUCUUCCCUGCACAUUAACUCUUGUCAUGUCUUCAGUUUCUACUUCAUGGAUGAUUUGGAUUCACUGUCAAAAGCUUUCAAGCAACGAGACAGAUUCUUAUCCACCAUUCAUUUUCUCCGCUUCUCAAGUAGCACCAGCUAUGCUCCCCCACUAUGAGUUUGCCCUUGGAGUGAUAACUCAUCAUAAAUCCCAAAUUGGAAGGGAUUCAGAAAGCCCAGCUUCUUCAUCGAGCCCAACUUAUAAGGGCUUUUACAUUCCCAUUGGAUUACUUCACUGAACAUCCAAUCCCAUUCUGAAGGAACUGCCACAUCCCACUGGAGAAGACAGAUCAAGAGGUGUGUUACAGAUAAAGUUUCAGUCACUCUUCUCAUACCUUUUUUGGCUUUCUGGAUGGUUCUGAACACACCCAGAUUUGUUCACUUCUACUAUCCACUUAUUUCCAUUAC